UACGUAGGGGGGCUAGCGUUGUCCGGAAUCAUUGGGCGUAAAGCGCGUGUAGGCGGUCCGGUAAGUCCGCCGUGAAAGUCCAGGGCUCAACCCUGGAAUGCCGGUGGAAACUGUCGGGCUGGAGUCCGGAAGAGGCGAGUGGAAUUCCUGGUGUAGCGGUGGAAUGCGCAGAUAUCAGGAGGACCACCGAUGGCGAAGGCAGCUCGCUGGGACGGUACUGACGCUGAGGCGCGAAAGCGUGGGGGAGCAAACAGG
rnacentral:rRNA from 1 species